GAACAAGGCCUUUUGUGGUGAUCACUCGGGUGAAGAGCAGCAGGAAUGUGAUGCCACACUUUUGAAUUCACUGUCUGAAGUAAUUUCAUAACCCAAUCAGAUCCAGUUCAUGUCCUCAAUCUCGGAGAAUCACCAAGGAUCCCACAAGAGAGUGUCCAAGAGAUAACUGACAACUCUUCAGAGGAUGUAUUUGUGAAGAUGCACUGUCGAAAACUCAUGUGGACCAUUACUUCAGCUCAAACACUGACACUUUGAUGGGAGUGGUUUCAUUGGCAUGCUGGCGGAAAGAAGCAGAUCUCUGAUCUUCCAACCAAGACAUUUGCAAUCAUACUACCAUGACGCAAGUUGGUCUAAUGAGUAAACUCUCGGUUUCUUCCUUAAAUAAAACAAAGAACUGUGGAUGAU